GCGGGAGAUGGGGCGGAUGGGGCGGGCGACGUCGGGACGGUUCGGGUGGCACCUGAGCAACGUGCAGACGUGGGUGAGCGGCGCCCUCACCGACCAGACCACCUGCCUCGACUCCCUCGCCCAGAACGCUCCCCCCUCCCCCCGCUCCUCCGCCAUCCGCUCCCGCGUCCUCGCCGCCUCCCAGCUCACCAGCAACGCCCUCGCCCUCAUCAACCGCCUCGCCCCCACCUGACCACACAUCAAAAACCACCGUACACAGGCCCGAAUAGUCUUGCGAAACUCGUUAAGGUCACAACCAAGCAUGUGCCACAUAGAACGGAGCCUGCAGCCUUAUUACAGAA
rnacentral:lncRNA from 1 species